rnacentral:lncRNA from 1 species
GAGACUACAGUUUAGAUGGCAAUUCUACUGUUAUUGAACAUGUUAUUUUUGAAAAAAUUACAAAUCAUAAAGCUGAUCCACAACAUAUACCAAUUAGUUCUAGUCCAGUUGAUAAACAAAUUCACUGAAAAAGGAGGGUCUCAGCUUAUAGGAUGAGUAUUGAUGAGAAAGUCAUCUUGUACAAAUUUUCUUCACAAAGUCUUUAAAGCUUGGACUGAUCACUAUGACCACACGGCUUAUACCUAACGCUUAAAUAAUGGAAUAGACUGAACAAAGUCAAGCCAACAAAUCAUAAUAAGUAAACAACCAACCAUUGAAUUAUACACCCUAAUAUAUAUUAAUGCUGCCAAAGUCCAACCCAAAUCAACUCGUCAAUGCUUAUUACGGUUAGCUUUCAGCUUCAGCCCAUUAAGCACCCAAGUCAACUCCGACUAAAAUGCACACCAGCCCACCAUAUAUAUAUAUAUUCUUUUUAAAGGUAUAUGUUCAGUUAUUAUGGAUCACAUUAAAUUGUUAGUAUACCUCACGUCAAAAUAAAGCUUCAGAGCUAAGCAAAGACUUGUAGCUCCAAUGAUACGUUUAAAUUUUGUUAGAAUAUUAUAAACUGUUAAACUGCAGGUAAUAUAAAUCUUUUUUUUCUAAGAGUUAUAAUUUGUUUUUUUGUUUUGUUUUUGUUCUCUAGCCACCGCCUGAUCUCUCUUAAAUGUGGGUAACCACAUUGGGUAAGCUGCUAACUGUGCACUAUAAUAGCUUUCCAUUUUAAAAAUACUACAAAUUUGAUUUUGAGUUGGAAGACUUGGUCAUGCC